UGCAGAACUGUAUGAUUUGUCAAACAUGUUGAAAGCUGAUCUGUAGUAUGCCCAAUUCUGAACUGAACAUUUCAUUAUUAAUGAAUGUUUUAGCUUUGAGGUUUCAUUAUGAGUUGGAUAAUAAUACUUAGGUAGCUGCAUGGAAAGCUACAUUUGCUUUCAGUGUGGAGAGUCGUGAGUGAAUGACUAUGCGAAACUGACUCAAAUGACGUACGUCAUCAGAUUGCAUUCUUGAAGGUUGAAAAACCGUCCAUUAUUAUUGAAGCACUCUGCUCAAAGACCGCACCCAGCUUAUAAUAUUUGCUGGAGAGUUAAAAUGUCACAGGAGAACCAUUCAAUUACGUCUGUAUAAAUUUGGGAAGAAACAGGAAUUCUGUUACUGAACUGGAAAAAAGAAAUGCUGCAGGGGCUCAGUUUUACUAUGUCACGAGAAGGCGUAAUCCCCGGAUCAGACUUGAUUAAAUUUUGACAUGACGAUAAAUGGACCUUAAAUAUUAUUGAUCUUUUGUCUUGGAAGCAUUUGCCACGAAACGAAAUCUUCUCUAACGGAACAUACUGCCGUUUUUGGUGGAAUAAUACUUUUUUUUUGUCCACUUCGGACAUCUAGAAAGUGGCAAAACCAUCAUAAUCAAGACCGUAAAGAAUCCGUUUAUCCAUUUACGGAAGAUUUUGCAUUUAAAAACUGGAAGACACUAAAAUUGAAGAAUGUAAUAGAAAAUCGCAUGUGAAAAAAACAAAUAUUGCUCAAAGAAAUUUAGUGUAAGAUGGAUCUUUCUCAACAUGGCUAAGAAAUGAUUUUAUAUCGACAUCAAGACUGGAGUUCAUCGCUCUUACGUAUAAAAGAUAUCAAUGGAGCAACAUCGAACAGUAUUUUUUGCUGACAGCUUGGGAACUUAUAAAUUAUCUCUUGCAAAAUCUAUUAAGAUGAUUUACUACUAAUUAUAAACUUGACUUGGCAGCCGAGGGAAAUGCAAUUCAGAUAUCUUUAAAACUUUGUGCACUGAUCUUAAAAAAAAUAAAAAAAAUCUUAUUUUACAUUGCUUUCUGAAACUUUGCAGGUGAGGAGAAAAUUCAAUUUUCUAAACUUAAAAGGUAAAUCUAGCUAAAAUACGCAACUGCCGAUAUUUAUCACGAAAUUUAAGCGUAUCUCUGGCUUUCAUUCUAUCUUUUAAAAUAAUGACUAGCUGAAAAGACAAGUGCUGAAUGCUUUUUGUUUCAUAUUCUGAGAUGGUACUUUACAAAAUAUUUUAUUUUCAAACUAUUGUAACGAGUCAUUAAACUCAAAUUUCAACUAAUGUUUAGCGGUUAAAUUAAUAUCUACUUGUAAAAUCAGUUGAUCAAAAAUUUUGUAUUAAGUUAAGAAAACGAAAUCUGUUGGUGACUAUUUCACGGAUUUUGUAUAAUCAAAUUCAAUAAGUCUGUUUCGAUAUGGUUUUUCAGCAUUUUAAGAGCACAUAUUUUAUUCUGUUUUUAGCUUUAAUCUCAUAUUUUCAAGCUUUCUCGUGACUCGCUCUCUGAGACUGAGUUUAGCUAAUCAGAUUCAGAAGUUGUUAAAAAUUGAAUGAUCAUAUUGGAAAGAAUCGAUAUUGCUAAAAUUCUUCAAAAAAAAAAAUCAUGAAAAACAGUAAUUAAAUGUUUCCUUCG